GAUGAACGCUGGCGGCGUGCUUAACACAUGCAAGUCGAACGAAGCAUUUAGGACAGAUUACUUCGGUUUGAAGUUCUUUAUGACUGAGUGGCGGACGGGUGAGUAACGCGUGGGUAACCUGCCUUGUACUGGGGGAUAGCAGCUGGAAACGGCUGGUAAUACCGCAUAAGCGCACAAUGUUGCAUGACAUGGUGUGAAAAACUCCGGUGGUAUAAGAUGGACCCGCGUCUGAUUAGCUAGUUGGUGAGAUAACAGCCCACCAAGGCGACGAUCAGUAGCCGACCUGAGAGGGUGACGGGCCACAUUGGGACUGAGACACGGCACAGACUCCUACGGGAGGCAGAAGUGGGUAAUAUUGCACAAUGGAGUAAACUCUGAUGCAGCGACGACGCGUGAGUGAAGAAGUAAUUCGUUAUGUAAAGCUCUAUCAGCAGGGAAGAUAGUGACGGUACCUGACUAAGAAGCUCCGGCUAAAUACGUG
rnacentral:rRNA from 1 species